rnacentral:SRP_RNA from 1 species
CCUUAAGACCUAUGCAAUGGAUUUUUGAGAUAAUGCGUCAGGGUGGGAACACAGCAGCGCACCUCUUCUUUUCAUGUGCCGUGGGAACCUUGAGGGGG